AGCGAACGCUGGCGGCAGGCCUAACACAUGCAAGUCGAACGGCAGCACAGUAAGAGCUUGCUCUUACGGGUGGCGAGUGGCGGACGGGUGAGGAAUACAUCGGAAUCUACUCUUUCGUGGGGGAUAACGUAGGGAAACUUACGCUAAUACCGCAUACGACCUACGGGUGAAAGCAGGGGAUCUUCGGACCUUGCGCGAUUGAAUGCGCCGAUGUCGGAGUAGCUAGUUGGCGGGGUAAAGGCCCACCAAGGCGCCGAUCGGUAGCUGGUCUGAGAGGAUGAUGAGCCACUGUGGAGCUGAGACGCGGUCCAGGGUCCGAGGUGAGGCAGCAGUGGGGAAUGUAGGAAACAGGGCGGAAGCCUGAACCAGCCGUAGCGCGUUGAUGAAGAAGGGCUGCGUGUGGUAUAGCGGUUUUGUUGGGAAAGAAAGGCAGCGGGUUAAACCCCCGCUGUGCUGACGGUACCCAAAGAGUAAGCACCGGCUAACUUCUG
rnacentral:rRNA from 1 species